AACGACUCUCGGCAACGGAUAUCUCGGCUCUCGCAUCGAUGAAGAACGUAGCGAAAUGCGAUACUUGGUGUGAAUUGCAGAAUCCCGUGAACCAUCGAGUCYUUGAACGCAAGUUGCGCCCGAAGCCAAUAGGCCGAGGGCACGUCUGGCUGGGUGUCACACAAAG
rnacentral:rRNA from 1 species